AGCCUGUGCGCCACAAGUAAAGAAGCCUGCACACCGCAGUGAAGAGUGUGCCUGCCACAGCUGAGGCCCCGCACGACACGACUAAGACUCAGUGCAGCCGAAUACAUAGAGCAAAGACUGCUGCCCUGUUUUAUCCACCGGCUGCCACUCACUAUGGUGUGUCCCUCCAGGACCUAGCUUCAGACAGGGACUCCAGCGGAGAACUGGUGUAUCUGUAUACCCGUGUUCCUAGCAGCACUGCUUACAACACCCAAAAAGCAGAAACAACCCAAGUAUCCGUCAACAGGGACUGUAGCCCUCCAGCCUCCUCCAUCCAUGGGAUUUGCCAGACUUCUGAACCAUCCUUGGUGACAUCUCCACCAAAAGCAGCAUUUGGGAGAUUACCUCUAAAGGUGAAGCUAUCAGAGGGGUCCUCCAUUCAGCUCUGGUCUAAGGGGUCCUCUUGGAGGUAUCUCCCUGAUUCCAGAGAAUGAGGUGCCCAGUUUAAGGACCUGCUGCAGACCGCGAGUUCGCUCCCACACUUCCAUCUCGAGCCUCACAGGCCGCACCUGGAUAGGACGCUGCGGGCGGUAGGCACGGAGGCGCGGGUGUCCACUUCAUCCGAGCUGGCACGAUGCCCGUCGUUGCUAAGCCCUUUUGGACUCAAAAUCCUCAGAUAAGGAGAUCAAAGCCCAAGAGGGGGUGGAGGGGCCAAUCCUGCCGCUGCUAGCCGGUCCCCAGCGGCUCCCGAGCAGCGCGUGGGUCAGCAGAGCCGGUGUGCUAGAGCAAAGGCCCACCGGAGCCCAAGGACCCUCCUUGGUUCAUCACCCCCCUUUGGUCCCCGGGCCACUGCCGAGUAGCCUCGCGUACUCACUGGGCCAUCGAUCAGUCCAGGAAGUGCCCGCAAGGUCAUCUGCACAACAAAGGCGGCCCCAAGCGGUGCCUUCUGUAUUGUAAAUACCAGGCCUUGUCCCCGGCGAAGCGGAGCCCCGGGAGAGAAGCUGCCCGAGGAAUCCUGCCCCCACUCCGCAUCCCUUCCCCACAACUCCGGAGCGCAUUCAUUUGAAAUGUUAAUGUUUUGAAGCUUCCCUCUAGGACUGGAUCAGUUUCCUUAAAAGAAGGCUGAAGCCUCUGGGCUUAAUAAACAAGCCGGCAUUUGACUUGGGUGGGAACCGGGUAAACAUUUGUUGGUUUCAGAGAGGCAGGUGUACGAGGACAAACGCCGGUAGAUUAUUACACAGCCUCGCCAGUCGCUUUAGAAAGACUCCUUUGUGCACCGAUUCCAGGAGAGAGACGUUUUCCUAAUCUACAGACCCUUAUUUGCACCC
ensembl:lncRNA